GUUGUAAACCCCUGUCAGGUGGGACGAAUCCCGUAUUGGCGAAUAGGCAUUACGNNUGACGGUACCACCAGAGGAAGCUCCGGCUAACUCCGUGCCAGCAGCCGCGGUAAUACGGGGGGAGCGAGCGUUGUUCGGAAUNACUGGGCGUAAAGGGCGCGUAGGCGGCCUGGUAAGUCGCGUGUGAAAGGCCGGGGCUCAACCCCGAGCANUGCACGUGAUACUGCNUGGCUCGAGAGAGGUAGNGGNGAGCGGAAUUCCCGGUGUAGCGGUGGAAUGCGUAGAUAUCGGGAAGAACACCUGUGGCGAAGGCNGCUCGCUGGNCCUUUUCUGACGCUGAANCGCGAAAGCGUGGGGAGCAAACAGGAUUAGAUACCCUGGUAGUCCACGCCGUAAACGAUGGGUACUAGGUGUUGGGAGGAUUGACCCUUUC
rnacentral:rRNA from 1 species